CCUACGGGGGGCAGCAGUGGGGAAUAUUGGACAAUGGGGGCAACCCUGAUCCAGCCAUGCCGCGUGUGUGAAGAAGGCCCUCGGGUUGUAAAGCACUUUCAGUGAGGAAGAACGCCUGGUGGUUAAUACCCAUCAGGAAAGACAUCACUCACAGAAGAAGCACCGGCUAACUCCGUGCCAGCAGCCGCGGUAAUACGGAGGGUGCGAGCGUCAAUCGGAAUUACUGGGCGUAAAGCGCGCGUAGGUGGCUUGAUAAGCCGGUUGUGAAAGCCCCGGGCUCAACCUGGGAACGGCAUCCGGAACUGUCAAGCUAGAGUGCAGGAGAGGAAGGUAGAAUUCCCGGUGUAGCGGUGAAAUGCGUAGAGAUCGGGAGGAAUACCAGUGGCGAAGGCGGCCUUCUGGACUGACACUGACACUGAGGUGCGAAAGCGUGGGUAGCAAACAGGAUUAGAUACCCGAGUAGUC
rnacentral:rRNA from 1 species